rnacentral:rRNA from 1 species
UACGGAGGGUGCAAGCGUUAUCCGGAUUUACUGGGUUUAAAGGGUGCGUAGGCGGGUUGAUAAGUCAGGGGUGAAACCUCCGAGCUUAACUCGGAAACUGCCUUUGAUACUAUCAGUCUUGAAUUCAGUUGAGGUGGGCGGAAUGUGUCGUGUAGCGGUGAAAUGCUUAGAUAUGACACAGAACACCAAUUGCGAAGGCAGCUCGCUAAACUGACAUUGACGCUGAGGCACGAAAGCGUGGGGAGCAAACAGG